rnacentral:tRNA from 1 species
GGGGAUCUCAGUUAGUAGAGUGCUUGCCUUGCAUGCAGGAGGUCCUGGGUUCAAUCCCCAGCACCA